rnacentral:rRNA from 1 species
GAGAAGGGCGUUUGGUGGAUGCCUUGGCAGUAAGAGGCGAUGAAGGACGUGAUACUCUGCGAUAAGUCAUGGGGAGCUGAGAAUAAGCUUUGAUCCAUGAAUUUCCGAAUGGGGCAACCCAUCUGACAGUUUGAUAUUAUCAGCACUGCUGUUGAUAUUGAGCUGAACCAGAUACUUAAUACCUGAAUACAUAGGGUUUUAAGAGCAAACCUGGGGAACUGAAACAUCUAAGUACCCGGAGGAAAGGAAAUCAAUAUGAUACUCCCCUAGUAGCGGCGAGCGAACGGGGACCAGCCGAGCCUUGAGUGUGAUCAGAAAGACCUGGGAAGGUCUGCCAUAGUGGGUGAUAGCCCCGUAUGAGAAGCACGAUUGGACGUAUUAAGUAGGGCGGGACACGUGAAAUCCUGUCUGAAGAUCGGAGGACCACCUUCGAAGGCUAAGUACUCCUUACUGACCGAUAGCGAACCAGUACCGUGAGGGAAAGGUGAAAAGCACCCCGACGAGGGGAGUGAAACAGUUUCUGAAACCGGACGCCUACAAGCAGUGGGAGGCCCCUUGAGGGCUGACCGCGUACCUUUUGUAUAAUGGGUCAGCGAGUUAGUCUGUCGAGCAAGCUUAAGCCGUUAGGUGUAGGCGCAGCGAAAGCGAGUCUGAAUAGGGCGUUGAGUUCGACGGAUUAGACCCGAAACCGGGUGAUCUAGCCAUGGGCAGGUUGAAGGUGCGGUAACACGCACUGGAGGACCGAACCCACGCCUGUUGAAAAAGUCGGGGAUGAGCUGUGGCUAGGGGUGAAAGGCCAAUCAAACUCCGUGAUAGCUGGUUCUCCCCGAAAUGCAUUUAGGUGCAGCGUUGCGUGGUUCUUGUUGGAGGUAGAGCACUGGAUGGUCUAGGGGGCUUAU